UGACCAUAAACGAUGUCAACUAAGGAUUGGAUAAGAAAUUUUCGAAGUACGGGUUUCUAAUAUCAACAAGCGACAGCUUGGCGAUUCUGAAACUGUCUUCAAUUCUUCCCUUAUUCAGGACUUGAUGAGAAAUCAUUAAGUGAAUGGACUUCAGGGGGAGUAUGGUCACAAGGCUGAAACUUAAAGGAAUUGACGGAAGGGCACACCAGGAGUGGAGCCUGCGGCUUAAUUUGACUCAACACGG
rnacentral:rRNA from 1 species